rnacentral:rRNA from 1 species
CCUGUAACAGGGGGAUAACCCGGAGAAAUCCGGACUAAUACCCCAUAAUAUGGGCGCUCCGCAUGGAGAGCCCAUUAAAGAGAGCAAUUUUGGUUACAGACGAGCAUGCGCUCCAUUAGCCAGUUGGCGGGGUAACGGCCCACCAAAGCGACGAUGGAUAGGGGUUCUGAGAGGAAGGUCCCCCACAUUGGAACUGAGACACGGUCCAAACUCCUACGGGAGGCAGCAGUGAGGAAUAUUGGUCAAUGGUCGGCAGACUGAACCAGCCAAGUCGCGUGAGGGAAGACGGCCCUACGGGUUGUAAACCUCUUUUGUCGGAGAGUAAAGUACGCUACGUGUAGUGUAUUGCAAGUAUCCGAAGAAAAAGCAUCGGCUAACUCCGUGCCAGCAGCCGCGGUAAUACGGAGGAUGCAAGCGUUAUCCGGAUUUAUUGGGUUUAAAGGGUGCGUAGGCGGCACGCCAAGUCAGCGGUGAAAUUUCCGGGCUCAACCCGGAGUGUGCCGUUGAAACUGGCGAGCUAGAGUACACAAGAGGCAGGCGGAAUGCGUGGUGUAGCGGUGAAAUGCAUAGAUAUCACGCAGAACCCCGAUUGCGAAGGCAGCCUGCUAGGGUGAAACAGACGCUGAGGCACGAAAGCGUGGGUAUCGAACAGGAUUAGAUACCCUGGUAGUCCACGCAGUAAACGAUGAAUACUAACUGUUUGCGAUACAAUGUAAGCGGUACAGCGAAAGCGUUAAGUAUUCCACCUGGGGAGUACGCCGGCAACGGUGCAACUCAAAUGAAUUGACGGA